rnacentral:rRNA from 1 species
UACGUGAAACCGUUUAGGGGUAAACCUGAGAAACCCGAAAGGUCGAAGGGAGAAAUUCAUUCGCGUUUCGUCGCAGGCGUCAAACGGGGUCGAGUGACGGAGAGCGUUCGCGCGCUUUUCGCGCCCUCCGUUCGACGAACCGGUAACGAACGCGUGCACUUUUCUCCUGGUAGGACGUCGCGAUCCGUUGGGUGUCGGUCUACGGCUCGCGGUGGAGUCCGUUCGUACGUCUCACGACGUACGGGCGGACCCGCGUGUCCCGGCUGACUCGCUCGACGGUAUAAGAAUGGUUUGAGGGCCGCUCUUGAAGCGUUCGGCUCGCGGCAAGCGCGCUAGUUGUGUCGGCAAUCGGACCCGGUGCCGAUUCUGACCUCUAGUGACUGUUGGCCGCGAAGUUCUCGAACAGACCUUCUCUUAAAAACCGAUCUGCGACGCUAUAGCUUUGGGUACUUUCAGGACCCGUCUUGAAACACGGACCAAGGAGUCUAGCAUGUGCGCGAGUCAUUGGGAAUCACUAAACCUAAAGGCGCAAUGAAAGUAAAGGUCCCCCUCGCGGGGACUGAGGGAAGAGGGGCGGUUUCAUCUUUAAAAGUGGCCGCUCCGCACUCCCGGGGCGUCUCGUUCUCAUCGCGAGAAGAGGCGCACCAAGAGCGUACACGCUGGGACCCGAAAGAUGGUGAACUAUGCCUGGUCAGGACGAAGUCAGGGGAAACCCUGAUGGAGGUCCGUAGCGAUUCUGACGUGCAAAUCGAUCGUCGGAACUGGGUAUAGGGGCGAAAGACUAAUCGAACCAUC